AAUAAAUAAAUAAAUAAAUAAAUAAAUAAUAAAGUAAAAUGCUGGGUUGAGACCGCUGGGUAGGACGCUGGGUUGUUUUAAUCCAAUUUUGUGUUGAAAAUUGGUCUUGAUCAUAACCCAGCGGCACUGGGUUGGGAAAGCGGACGUGAAAGAGAGCACGCAUGUCAUGUUAACAUCGGACGACGCCAGUGCGAGAAGCCGCCAUUUUCUCGGCCUGAAAGUGAGAAGAGUGAAAGACAUUAUGAAACGGACGUCUUAUCAGCCUCUUUUACUGAAUGGAAGAGGUACUUCUAAUAUAAUGUCCACUUGUUGAGCUUGUGUCUUGUGCCGGGAGUUAACUAACGUUACACAGAGGCCUGCUUUUGUGGGGGGGUUUCCUCAGCUUCUUCAGAAGAGCGGGAAUAGACUGUUUUAAGAACUCAAACCAACUUUUGAGUUGUCUGAUUUGGGGAGUUAUCAUUCUUGGUCUUCCUUUCUUAAAGGAAUAGUUCACACAAAAAAUAAUUUACUUGCCCUCAUGUCAUUCUAAACCUAAAAGACUUGUCUGUCUUUAGAAUACAAAUGAAUACAUUUAAUUUU
ensembl:lncRNA